UAGAAGGUCUUCUUAAAGACCACAUAAUAUCACUUUACAAAUUUCCU
rfam:Pteropus alecto contig79518, whole genome shotgun sequence.